rnacentral:rRNA from 1 species
AACGAACGCUGGCGGCAUGCCUAACACAUGCAAGUCGAACGAUGCCUUCGGGCAUAGUGGCGCACGGGUGAGUAACGCGUGGGAACCUGCCCUGUGGUACGGAAUAAUUCCGGGAAACUGGAGCUAAUACCGUUUGGGUUCCCUGGGACAAAGAUUUAUCGCCACGGGAUGGGCGCGGGUAGGAUUAGCUUGUUGGUGGUGUAACGGCCGACCAAGGCUACGAUCCUUAGCUGGUCUGAUAGGAUGAUCCGCCACACUGGAACUGCGACCCGGCCCAGACUCCUACGGGAAGGAGCAGUGGGGAAUAUUGGACAAUGGGCGCAAGCCUGAUCCAGCAAUGCCGCGUAAGUGAUGAAGGCGUUCGGGUUGUAAAGCUCUUUCGCACGCGGCGAUGAUGACGGUAGCGUGAGAAGAAGCCCCGGCUAACUUCGUG